UACGGGGGGAGCAAGCGUUGUUCGGAUUUACUGGGCGUAAAGGGCGCGUAGGCGGUAGCACAAGUCAGUUGUGAAAUCUCCGGGCUUAACUCGGAAAGGUCAACUGAUACUGUGCGACUAGAGUGCAGAAGGGGCAACUGGAAUUCUCGGUGUAGCGGUGAAAUGCGCAGAGAUCGGGAGGAACACCCGUAGCGAAGGCGGCGCUCUGGGCCGGUACUGACGCUGAGGAGCGAAAGCGUGGGGAGCAAACAGG
rnacentral:rRNA from 1 species